UAUUGGACAAUGGGCGAAAGCCUGAUCCAGCCAUGCCGCGUGUGUGAAGAAGGUCUUCGGAUUGUAAAGCACUUUAAGUUGGGAGGAAGGGCAGUAAAUUAAUACUUUGCUGUUUUGACGUUACCGACAGAAUAAGCACCGGCUAACUCUGUGCCAGCAGCCGCGGUAAUACAGAGGGUGCAAGCGUUAAUCGGAAUUACUGGGCGUAAAGCGCGCGUAGGUGGUUUGUUAAGUUGGAUGUAAAUCCCCGGGCUCAACCUGGAACUGCAUUCAAAACUACUACAGAGAUGGAGAGGGUGGUGAAUUUCCUGUGAGCGGUAAAUGCGAAAAGAAGAACACCAGUGGGAGCGCACCUGGCAAUCUGACUGCGUGAAA
rnacentral:rRNA from 1 species